rnacentral:lncRNA from 1 species
UGACACAGUGUAGAUGUUGUGGUGGUGGGGGAAGGAAAGUUCCAUCUGGAUGACACAGUGUAGAUGUUGUGGUGGUGGGGGAAGGAAAGUUCCAUCUGGAUUACAUAGUGUAGAUGUUGUGGUGGUGGGGGAAGGAAAGUUCCACCUGGAUGACACAGUGUAGAUGUUGUGGUGGUGGUGGAAGGAAAGUUCCAUCUGGAUGACACAGUGUAGAUGUUGUGGUGGUGGGGGAAGGAAAGUUCCAUCUGGAUGACACAGUGUAGAUGUUGUGGUGGUGGGGGAAGGAAAGUUCCAUCUGGAUGACACAGUGUAGAUGUUGUGGUGGUGGGAAGGAAAGGUCCAUCUGGAUGACACAGUGUAGAUGUUGUGGUGGUGGGGGAAGGAAAGUUCCAUCUGGAUGACACAGUGUAGAUGUUGUGGUGGUGGGAAGGAAAGGUCCAUCUGGAUUACACAGUGUAGAUGUUGUGGUGGUGGGGGAAGGAAAGUUCCAUCUGGAUGACACAGUGUAGAUGUUGUGGUGGUGGGGGAAGGAAAGGUCCAUCUGGAUGACACAGUGUAGAUGUUGUGGUGGUGGGGGAAGGAAAGCUCCAUCUGGAUGACACAGUGUAGAUGUUGUGGUGGUGGGGGAAGGAAAGUUCCAUCUGGAUGACACAGUGUAGAUGUUGUUGUGGUGGUGGGAAGGAAAGGUCCAUCUGGAUUACAUAGUGUAGAUGUUGUGGUGGUGGGGGAAGGAAAGUUCCACCUGGAUGACACAGUGUAGAUGUUGUGGUGGUGGUGGAAGGAAAGUUCCAUCUGGAUGACACAGUGUAGAUGUUGUGGUGGUGGGGGAAGGAAAGUUCCAUCUGGAUGACACAGUGUAGAUGUUGUGGUGGUGGGAAGGAAAGUUCCAUCUGGAUGACACAGUGUAGAUGUUGUGGUGGUGGGGGAAGGAAAGGUCCAUCUGGAUGACACAGUGUAGAUGUUGUGGUGGUGGGGGAAGGAAAGUUCCACCUGGAUGACACAGUGUAGAUGUUGUGGUGGUGGGGGAAGGAAAGUUCCAUCUGGAUGACACAGUGUAGAUGUUGUGGUGGUGGGGGAAGGAAAGUUCCAUCUGGAUGACACAGUGUAGAUGUUGUGGUGGUGGGAAGGAAAGUUCCAUCUGGAUGACACAGUGUAGAUGUUGUGGUGGUGGGGGAAGGAAAGGUCCAUCUGGAUGACACAGUGUAGAUGUUGUGGUGGUGGGAAGGAAAGUUCCAUCUGGAUGACACAGUGUAGAUGUUGUGGUGGUGGGGGAAGGAAAGGUCCAUCUGGAUGACACAGUGUAGAUGUUGUGGUGGUGGGGGAAGGAAAG